GCGCUCGUAGCUCAGUUGAAUAGAGCAAGACUCUCCUAAAGUCUAGGUCGAAGGUUUGAAUCCUUUCGGGCGCGCCA
rnacentral:tRNA from 1 species